UACGGAGGGAGCUAGCGUUGUUCGGAAUUACUGGGCGUAAAGCGCACGUAGGCGGCUACUCAAGUCGGGGGUGAAAGCCCGGGGCUCAACCCCGGAACUGCCCUCGAAACUAGGUAGCUAGAAUCUUGGAGAGGUCAGUGGAAUUCCGAGUGUAGAGGUGAAAUUCGUAGAUAUUCGGAAGAACACCAGUGGCGAAGGCGACUGACUGGACAAGUAUUGACGCUGAGGUGCGAAAGCGUGGGGAGAAA
rnacentral:rRNA from 1 species